rnacentral:rRNA from 1 species
GGGGGGGGGGGGGGGGGGGGGGGGGGGGGGGGGGGGGGGGGGGGGGGGGGGGGGGGCGGGCGCUGACGGGGGGGGAGUGGGGGGGGGGGGGGGGAUACAGCGGAAUGUGAGUUGGCGGGGGGGAGACCGUAGGGAAAAUGACGCUCAUCGCGAAUACGACCUACGGGUGAAAAGAGGAGAUCUUCGGACCUUGCGCUAUCUCAUGAGCCGAUGUCGGAUUAGCUAGUUGACGGGGUAAAGGCCCACCAAGGCGACGAUCCGUAGCUGGUCUGAGCGGAUGAGCAGCCACACUGGACCUGAGACACGGUCCAGACUCCUACGGGAGGCAGCAGUGGGGAAUAUUGGACAAGGGGCGCAAGCCUGAUCCAGCCAUACCGCGUGGGUGAAGAAGGCCUUCGGGUUGUAAAGCCCUUUUGUUGGGAAAGAAAAGCAGCAGGUUAAUACCCCGCUGUUCUGACGGUACCCAAAGAAUAAGCACCGGCUAACUUCGUG